rnacentral:rRNA from 1 species
AUACGGAGGGUGCAAGCGUUAAUCGGAAUUACUGGGCGUAAAGCGUACGUAGGCGGUUAGUUAAGUUAGAUGUGAAAGCCCCGGGCUUAACCUGGGAACUGCAUUUAAAACUGGCUAACUAGAGUUAAGUAGAGGGGAGUGGAAUUUCAGGUGUAGCGGUGAAAUGCGUAGAGAUCUGAAGGAACACCAGUGGCGAAGGCGACUCCCUGGACUUGAACUGACGCUGAGGUACGAAAGCGUGGGUAGCAAACGGAAUUAGAAACCCUAGUAGUCC